rnacentral:misc_RNA from 1 species
UGAAAUUGUAGCAGAAUAUUAUAAUUUUUAUUGAUUCAAUGAAAUAAGACUGAUUCAAUCAACAAUACAACCUCCUUCUAUAUUAUCUUAACUCAAGGGAAAAAAGAGAAACCAAAGAUAAGGAAACUGGUUGAUCACACCCCACCACAACCCAUCACGCCGGCACACCCCCCCAACCCCCCACUUUCUCCCUCUCCCUCUCUCCCGUGUAGAAAAACCCUGCCCCAAAAAAAACAUGCCUUUCCCGUGUAACAAAUUCUAUCCACAUGUCAAUCUCUCCUUUGCUAGCUCUAACAGCCACAUGCCAUUCUUCUUUUUCUAGUAAUGCACUGCUAGCUCCCUCCAUCCCCUUGCUUCUUCUAGAAUAAACCUUGAAAGUUCCAGGACCACUAUCAAAAAAUUUUAGAAGUUCAUGACGAAGUCAAAGCAAACUUGACAUCCUCAUUGGUGUUCAUUAGUAGUAGGGGCUAUCGUAGUUGAUUGCCUAAUUUUACCACAAUAAGAAUUAUUGCUGGCAUUAUUAGCAAGUAAAACAGUGUCGUCUCCAAUUUGGCCACCAUUCGAAAUAUAGGUAUUGCCUUCAUUCUGCCAAAACCAAUGAUAUUAAAAAGUUCUGAACAAGAAGUAGGAAAAAAAUUUAGAUGCUGAAGUAAUCAAGAAAGAACUCCAAAACAAGAAAAAUUAAAUAAUUUAAACGUGCAAGAUCAACUAAGCCUUCCAACAAGAAUAAACCCAUCAAUUUUCUAUCCAUUCCACAACCAUAAGAAAUUGUUAUGAACGCAGGAGAUGGAUCAGAGUAUGAACCAGGACAUCUCAGAGUUUAUUACAGAAAAAAGAAAUAAGGAUAACAAGCAAGCCAUCUGUUGGGGGAUCAGGAAAAGGCCAAUCUUCUUCAUGGCAAUCAGGUUGUUACAGAAGAUAUGAAUAAGUUAGUUGCAGCAGAGGAUAGUGCAGUAGAUAAAGAUAAACAAGCCAAGAAUGCCAGAGCCUAUAAAUAGAGAGAGAGGGAAAUGGAGAGGAUGUCUCGAGUAUUUUGUAGUUUUGGCCAUUAGGGGUGAGCACUAUUUGGUUUAAACCAAAAAACCGAACCGAACUGCCUUAAUUUGAUAAUUCAGUUUAGUUUUUUAUGUAACUUGGUUCGGUUCGGUUUUGUUUUUUAAAAAUUUCGGUUAUUUCGGUU